rnacentral:rRNA from 1 species
AUCGAUGAAGAACGCAGCGAAAUGCGAUAAGUAAUGUGAAUUGCAGAAUUCAGUGAAUCAUCGAAUCUUUGAACGCACAUUGCGCCCGCCAGUAUUCUGGCGGGCAUGCCUGUCUGAGCGUCAUUUCAACCCUCAAGCAACUUCUGCUUGGUGUUGGGGAUCGGCCGUCAAACGCCGCCCCCGAAAUCUAUUGGCGAUCUCGCUGUAGCUUCCUAUGCGUAGUAGUAACAUCUCGCAUCUGGAGAGCGGCGCGGUCAUGCCGUAAAACACCCAACUUUUCAGGUUGACCUCAGAUCAGGUAGGAAUACCCGCUGAACUUAAGCAUAUCAAUAAGCGGAGGAAAAGAAACCAACAGGGAUUGCCCCAGUAACGGCGAGUGAAGCGGCAACAGCUCAAAUUUGAAAUCUGGCCCUAGGCCCGAGUUGUAAUUUGUAGAGGAUGUUUCUGACGAGGUACCUUCCGAGUUCCCUGGAACGGGACGCCAUAGAGGGUGAGAGCCCCGUACGGUUGGUCGCCAAGUCUCUGUGAAACUCCUUCGACGAGUCGAGUAGUUUGGGAAUGCUGCUCUAAAUGGGAGGUAUACGUCUUCUAAAGCUAAAUAUAGGCCAGAGACCGAUAGCGCACAAGUAGAGUGAUCGAAAGAUGAAAAGCACUUUGAAAAGAGGGUUAAAUAGUACGUGAAAUUGUUGAAAGGGAAGCGCAUAUGACCAGACUUGGCCAGGUUAAUCAUCCAUCGUUCUCGGUGGUGCACUUUGCCUGGCCAGGCCAGCAUCAGUUCGCUUUGGGGGAUAAAGACUUUGGGAAUGUGGCUCCCUCGGGAGUGUUAUAGCCCAUUGUGUAAUACCCUGGAGUGGACUGAGGUUCGCGCAUCUGCAAGGAUGCUGGCGUAAUGGUCAUCUGCGACCCGUCUUGAAACACGG